UCCGCACCACCAUCGCGCCGCGCGCCUCUCCCUACCGCGAAAAAUCGCCGCGCAUCCCCUCCAUCGUCGCACCUCCCCAACAUCGCCGCGCCAGCGCCCACCAUCGUCACUGCCGCCCAUCGCUCUCCACUGCGCCCCCUCGCCGCCGUGCGCCCUCCCAACCCUAACCCCUGCCGCUCAGGAUCCCCCCUCCCCCGCCUCUCCUCCUCCCCACCGCCGACGACUAGUGCCGACGUUGUCCCCCCCCCCCCCCCCCCCCCCCCCCCCCGCCUUUCCUCCUUCCGCCCACCUGCCACCGACGCCGCCACCCCAGGCAGUGACUCCUCCUCGCCGACGCCGACACUGAAUCCCCCGCCGACAACGCCACCGCCGUUGACGCCUACUCCUGUGGCAAUCUGGAAUUUUUUUCUUCGCCGCCUCUCCGACGACUACCUGCCACCGCCGCCUCAACCGACAUCGCCGAUCCGGUCUCCCGUCGCUGUCCCUCGGCCGCUGAAGUCUCCUCGGACUCCAUCUCAACCGGCAUCACUGCCGCCGCCGCCGUCCCUCCGCUACCAAAAUCGUCACGCAUCGCCGGUCUCCUCCGACAAACUGCUUCGGCGACCUCCUCCUCGGCCUCCGCCUCAACCGCUGCCGAUAUGGAGCCACGCCGUCGUUCCUCCGCCGCCGAAAGGUAUCUUGAACCAAAACAUUCAGACUGAAGCACCUCAUGUGUUUUGUGAUCUUGAACCAAAACAUUCAGCCUGA
rnacentral:lncRNA from 1 species